GUAGGGAAUCUUCCGCAAUGGACGAAAGUCUGACGGAGCAACGCCGCGUGAGUGAUGAAGGGUUUCGGCUCGUAAAGCUCUGUUAUGAGGGAAGAACACGUACCGUUCGAAUAGGGCGGUACCUUGACGGUACCUCAUCAGAAAGCCACGGCUAACUACGUGCCAGCAGCCGCGGUAAUACGUAGGUGGCAAGCGUUGUCCGGAAUUAUUGGGCGUAAAGCGCGCGCAGGCGGCCUUUUAAGUCUGAUGUGAAAUCUUGCGGCUCAACCGCAAGCGGCCAUUGGAAACUGGGAGGCUUGAGUACAGAAGAGGAGAGUGGAAUUCCACGUGUAGCGGUGAAAUGCGUAGAUAUGUGGAGGAACACCAGUGGCGAAGGCGACUCUCUGGUCUGUAACUGACGCUGAGGCGCGAAAGCGUGGGGAGCAAACAGGAUUAGAAACCCUAGUAGUCC
rnacentral:rRNA from 1 species